rnacentral:snRNA from 1 species
GUGCUCGCUUUGGCAGCACAUAUACUAAAAUUGGAAUCAUACAGAGAAGAUGGCCCUAGUGCAAGGAUGACGUGUAAAUUUGUCUGGCAUUCCAUAUUUUU